CCGACGGUGAGGGACGAAAGCUGGGGGAGCAAACCGGAUUAGAUACCCGGGUAGUCCCAGCUGUAAACGAUGCGCGUUAGGUGUGUCAGUGACCACGUGUCACUGAUGUGCCGAAGGGAAACCGUGAAACGCGCCGCCUGGGGAGUACGGUCGCAAGGCUGAAACUUAAAGGAAUUGGCGGGGGAGCACCACAACGGGUGGAGUCUGCGGUUUAAUCGGACUCAACGCCGGAAAUCUCACCGGAUAA
rnacentral:rRNA from 1 species